rnacentral:miRNA from 1 species
UUCCCAGCCAACGCACCA